CUUCAGCACUUAAAGAGAUAACAAAUGCAAAGCCCCCAAAGCCUUAGCUGGCACAAUGCGAGCUGGUACUCAACAAAAGAUAACUGUUGGCACUGUGUUAGGGACGCUUUGAGUCCUCUGUCUCCUCGGCCAGAUCUGGAAAGUCCAGAAAGUCUUCCCCCAGGUGGCUUCUCUAGCCCAGGGCCAGGCAUGGGUGACAAAAGGCGCUGAGAUCAUUUUGCCAAAUCCCUCUGAACAAGGCCCCACGGUAUGGACUCUUCUGUGCUAGGUAAACAAACUCCCUGUUCCUAUGGAGCUCACGUUCUUCAAUGAGCUCUUCCUGCUCCUAGAAUAACAAUUAUUCUGUGUGUGUGUGCAAUUGACAAAAACCAUCCCAUUCCUGAUCUCAUUGUGUCACCUCAUAGUCUGCAGGCAGGUGGGGCAGGCACCUCUGUGACAUGCACAAUGCUUGUCCUCUUUUUUUUUUUUAAUCACAUCCCUGCCCCAAACAAGUCCAGGCUCCUGGCCUGGCAUCCAAGACCCUGCCUGAUCUUUCCAAGCUCACCUCAAACUACCCGCGAAACUUCUGGGUCAGGUCCCAGAGCUCCCAGAAGCAGUCCUGUUUCCGGGUCUUGGCACAGGCCCCUGCCUUCACCAGAAGUGUCUUCCCUUUGCCCACCUCCAGCCUGUGCAUCCUCUGAGGCCCAGCUCCCCAGUGACUCCAGAUGAAUGUACCUUGACCAUUUCCAACUGAGCCUUGGCUCACUGACAAAGCCACAUCUCCUUGAAGGCUGGGCCUAGGAGAUUUCCAUCAUGUCUCCUCUUUGUCCAGCACAGGGCUGCAGACAUGGCUGUUAGAAAAUAAUUCUUUCUUUGGCCUCAACAGGGAAUGAAUAAUAAUAAUACAACAACAAUAAUAACAAUAACAUUAGCUGACGUUUGCUGAGCAUCCCACUUGCCAGAUGGAUUACUGAGUACUUCGCACGUGCUGUCUAGCUGGAUCCUCAGAGCAACCCAGUGAUGCACAGGAUCCUUGUUAUUCUCCCAAUGUACAGAUGAGGAAAACAGAGACUCAGUAAGGGCAAAGAGCUUUUCCAAGGGCAAAUAGCUAAUCAAACUGUCAAUAGAAAUCAUGGCCACUUGAUUUCUGACAAUCAAGAUUUCUGAAAACGAUGUUGUUUUCAGCAGAUGGUGCUGAGACAUCUGGAUAUCCACAUGCCAAAGAACGAGGUUGAGCCCCUCUUUUACACCAUGUAGAUUGAUUACCUAAAAAUUGAUCAUAGACCUAAAUGUGAGAGCUAAAACUAAACAAGUCUUAGAAAAAAACAUGGGAAUAUAUUUUCAGGACUUUGGUCGGGCGCGGUGGCGCACGCUUGUAAUCCCAGCACUUUGGGAAGCCGAGGAGGGUGGAUCACUUGAGGUCAGGAGUUCGAGACCAGCUGGCCAAUACGGUGAAACCCCGUCUCUACUGAAAAUACAAAAAUUAGCCAGGUGUAGAGGUGUGCAUCUGUAAUCCCAGCUACUGGGGAGGCUGAGGCAGGAGAAUCGCUUAACCCAGGAGACAGAGGUUGCAGUGAGCUGAGAUCACACCACUGCACUCCAGCCUGGGCGACAGUGAGACUCCAUUUCAAAAUAAAAUAAAAUAAAAUAAAAUAAAAUAAAAAUUUCAGGACAUUGGAUUAGGCAAUGAUUUCUGGUUUCUUAGAUAUGACACCAAAAGCACAAGUGACAAGAUAAAAAAACAAAUUUCCUCAAAAGUAAAGUCCUUUGUGCUUCAAAGGACACCAACAAGAAUGUGAAAAGAUACGCCAUAGAAUAAGAGGAAAUAUUUGCAAAUCAUAUAUCUGACAAGGGAUUUGUAUCUGGCAUAUGUAAAGCACUCUUACAACUUAACAAUAAAAAAACACAAAUAACCCACAUAAAAAGUGGGCAAAGGAUCUAAUAGAAAUGUCUCCAAAGAAGAUGAUAUGCCAGCCAGCCCAUGGAAAGAUGUUCAACAUCAUUAGCCAUAGGGGAAAUGCAAAUCAAAACCACAGUGAGAUACCACUGCACACCCACUGCUAUGAAUAAGUGAGAGGCACGGACAGAAUGCGGGUACUAUACCAGGGUGUAGACUUCAUGUGUAAUUCAUAACUCUCACCCUGGGGAGGGAAAGAUGAAAAGCUUGUCAGAGGUGACAAUUCAGAGCCAAGUGAUCCCAGAUCCACACUGUCCACCCAGACCCCACUCAGCACACACGUGCACACACAGGCGCUCCAUCCCUGCCUCUCUCUUCUGGACACAAUCUCCCCACCAUCUUCAACUCAGCCUCCAUACACUCUUUGGACCACACUGUAGCUCAUCAGUCUCCUGCCCCACAAGACUCCUCCAUCCUGCCUGAGAGAGACCCUCACGAGUCACAUUCUCUCUUGUACCUCCCCAGGCUCUCCCCACCUCCCUACCACAGGAGCUCCAGGGGAAGUAAGUCAGGGGCCCUUCCCAGACUCAGGCACUCACCACAGGCAGGGUCAUCACCUGACCAUCGGAAAGGCAGUCG
rnacentral:lncRNA from 1 species